UACAGAGGAGCCAAGCGUUGUCCGGAUUGACUGGGCGUAAAGCGCACGCAGGCGGAUGCGCGCGUGGGGUGUGAAAUCUGGCCGCUUAACGGCCAGGCGCCAUCACAUACGGCGCGUCUGGAGCCUUGCAGAGGUCGGUGGAAUUGCCGGUGUAGUGGUGAAAUGCGUAGAGAUCCGGAGGAACACCAGUGGCGAAGGCGACACGCUGGGCCGUACCUGACACUGAUGCGCGACAGCAUGGGGAGCAAACAGG
rnacentral:rRNA from 1 species